rnacentral:rRNA from 1 species
CGCGCAGGCGGUCGAUCAAGUCGAGUGUGAAAGCCCCCGGCUCAACUGGGGAGGGUCAUUCGAUACUGAUCGACUCGAAGGCAGGAGAGGGUAGUGGAAUUCCCGGUGUAGUGGUGAAAUGCGUAGAUAUCGGGAGGAACACCAGUGGCGAAGGCGACUACCUGGCCUGUUCUUGACGCUGAGGCGCGAAAGCUAGGGGAGCAAACGG